rnacentral:rRNA from 1 species
GACGAACCGUGCAAACGUUAUUCGGAAUCACUGGGCUUAAAGGGCGCGUAGACGGAUCCCUGCGUCGACGGCUGAAAGCCCCCGGCUCAACCGGGGAACGGGCCUCGAUACGAGGGAUCUCGAGUGGAGGAGGGGGACCUGGAACUUCCGGUGGAGCGGUGAAAUGCGUUGAGAUCGGAAGGAACGCCCGCGGCGAAAGCGAGGUCCUGGACUCCGACUGACGUUGAGGCGCGAAAGCCAGGGGAGCGAACGGG